AGCAGCCGCGGUAAUUCCAGCUCCAAUAGCGUAUAUUAAAGUUGUUGCAGUUAAAAAGCUCGUAGUUGAAUUUCGGGACCAAUCUGCCGGUCGUGCCUCCGGUACGCACUGGUUUUAUUGGUUUCUCCCUUCUGACGAACCAUGAUGUCAUUAAUUUGGUGUCAUGGGGAAUCAGGACUGUUACUUUGAAAAAAUUAGAGUGUUUAUAGCAGGCUCACGCUUGAAUACAUUAGCAUGGAAUAAUGAAAUAGGACGUUUGACCCUAUUUUGUUGGUUUCUAGGAUCGACGUAAUGAUUAAUAGGGAUAGUUGGGGGCAUUAGUAUUCAAUUGUCAGAGGUGAAAUUCUCGGAUUUAUCGAAGACUAACUACUGCGAAAGCAUUUGCCAAGGAUGUUUUCAUUAAUCAAGAACGAAAGUUAGGGGAUCGAAGACGAUCAGAUACCGUCGUAGUCUUAACCAUAAACUAUGCCGACUAGGGAUCGGAUGAUGUUAAUUUUUUUAAUGACUCAGUUCGCGCCUU
rnacentral:rRNA from 1 species